AUUGAACGCUGGCGGCAGGCCUAACACAUGCAAGUCGAGCGGUAACACAGGGAGCUUGCUCCCGGGUGACGAGCGGCGGACGGGUGAGUAAUGGCUGGGAAACUGCCUGAUGGAGGGGGAUAACUACUGGAAACGGUAGCUAAUACCGCAUAACGUCGCAAGACCAAAGAGGGGGACCUUCGGGCCUCUUGCCAUCAGAUGUGCCCAGAUGGGAUUAGCUAGUAGGUGGGGUAACGGCUCACCUAGGCGACGAUCCCUAGCUGGUCUGAGAGGAUGACCAGCCACACUGGAACUGAGACACGGUCCAGACUCCUACGGGAGGCAGCAGUGGGGAAUAUUGCACAAUGGGCGCAAGCCUGAUGCAGCCAUGCCGCGUGUAUGAAGAAGGCCUUCGGGUUGUAAAGUACUUUCAGCGGGGAGGAAGGCGAUAAGGUUAAUAACCUUGUCGAUUGACGUUACCCGCAGAAGAAGCACCGGCUAACUCCGUGCCAGCCGCCGCCGUAA
rnacentral:rRNA from 1 species